GUUGGUGCUGAACACUUGCCGACAAACGUUACCCAGUCGCCGCGCUUAAAACUCGUUUAAGACGUAUCUUAAAGUGACCGCCACAAAGAAGAGCGAACAUCAACCACGUUCAACAGGCAGACACACUGCAUUUGAAACAAUCACAAUUAACUGGAAAAUGUAAACAAACAGAGGCACAGCGGCUAAACAACUUUCAGCCAACACCAGCAAAAGCACAACGAAGCUGGCCGAAAGAGACAACUGAAAGAGACCGACUACAGUUAGCGCAGCGGAAGAAUCUCGCUGAACUUAACCAACUAUAAUUCCGACUAUACGACGAAGACGAUGCAAGGCAAAAAAAACUGAACGACAGCAACUGAACUGUUGCCGCUAACAACUUAACGAAAGCUCACAGUGAGAGCGUUUUUAACCGGCGGCUUGGCCUAGCUUGGCCAUGAUCUUGGCUAGCACGGUGAGCGGUUCAGUCAGUUGUCGGUUAGACGCGUUCGCAUGCGCACGCUGUUAAAAUAUUAAAGCGUAGAUACAAUAUCUAAGAGAUACAAGAUACAAUAUACAAAAUACGCGGCAACCGUUAGACAGUAGGUGUGUCUUGCGCAUAGAUGAAGUAAUUGCAGGUUGAACGGCUUGUUUAAGUCUGGGCUAGUGUUUGACUUUGGUAAGGCAAAUAGAAAAUGUGCUAAAUGCAGCAGCGAAAUUGCAAACAAACAAAAA